rnacentral:lncRNA from 1 species
GGAUUUCCAAGCUGUUGUUAUUGUACUAGACUGAGUGGUUAUGUAUGUACUACUUUGUUUAGGACAAUUGCAGCAAGGAAGUAGGAGGAAGAAGAAAUGCAGGCCACCUCAUGAAAGGCAGCAGCAAAGAUCCACAGGUUAGCAAUCUUGGUUCCUCUGCUUCUGCACUGCAUAUAUGUAUAUGGAACUGUGUACUGACAUGCCUCCUUAUCUAGAAUCCCCAUUUGUGCCAUCUAGAAGAAAAUUUGAGGAAGAGACUAAAAGGCACAUACAUGAGUAGCCUGAUUCUUGUCUUAGAAAGUUGGUUCUUAUAUAUAUAUGUCUUGGAUUAAAAAGAGCAUGAGAACUUGCCAAGCCAUCUGGAAAUGCCAUCAGAGCUGAAACAUUUUUUAGGUUGCUGACAGCAUUGAGCUGGGCUUGCUUUUGUUGCUACUACUGCUGAAGAAAAACUCCAGAAAAGGGAGUGAAAGUAGAAAGAAGAGAGGUUGCACAAGAUGAGUAAUGAUGGGUAGCGGUAGAGGCUGAAACUGUGAUGAUGAUGCGGAUCUGACCAUUAGUAUGUUUCCCAUCAAGGAAACCUACAAUUUCUAUUAUGAUACAGAUUUUCUAUUAUGAGGUGUGUUUCUCAUAAAGAAUGUGAUUUCUGCAUGAUAGUUUUCUACUGAAGGUUUUAUGCAAAGACUAACAUUUAAGAAGGAUGUAGUAAAAAACCUUGGUAGGUACUCCUGAAGUUGAAGCUGCUCAGGCAAUAGUAAUUUCUUUUUCCGAGCAUUGAAUUAAUGUUUUGGGUUUUGCUUAAUAUUGUUAUUCCUCGUAG